GAUGAUGCCACAGAGCAUAUUACAUGACACAUUACCAUGAUGUUCCAUAACCGACCCCUCAAGGUCCCAACAAAAAAUUGAGUCAUUCCUCUCACUCUUCUUCUGUGUAAAUGUACAAUGUUCUCCUUUAUAUGCAAUGGGAACACCAAAUCAUGAUCUCAGACAAGUUCUGAGGAUUCUGCACCAUAACAAAACCAAACCAAACAUAAAAGAAGAAGGAGAAGGAGAAUUCUGUUGAAUGAUGGGAACCUAUCCUUCUUCUGCUGAUGGAUGAGUUGUUCUGGAACAAGAGACAGAACAGGUUGCAGUUAUAAAACGUCAUAAAUUGAUGCAAAGGGGAGUAGCAGGAUCGUAUAAAAGAAGUGUUUCAGUUUGAUCUUUAAACUGAGCAGGGAGAAGAUGAAUUACACUGGCUUGAAACUUUGUUAUGAGUCUCCUCUUAAAGCAUCCAGACUAUCUUUUAUCCCUGAAAGACUUGGUGAUACUGUUGUUCUCUUCAUAAGGUUUGGCAUAGUUGUGUGCCUUGUUGCCUCCAUAUCACUCGCUCUCCACUCAGCAUUUGCUAAACCAGACCGAUGGUUCCCCUUACCGGACCAUAUACAUACUGCAAAGAAUACUUCUGUCAUUGACAGCGGACCAACAAACAUCUCACAUAUUCUGUUUGGCAUCGGUGGAUCAUCUAACACUUGGCAUGACCGUAGCAACUACAGCAAACUAUGGUGGAAUCCAAACACCACAAGAGGUUUUGUUUGGCUUGACAAGAAGCCUAAGAUUUUGCGUGAUGACAUGUUAGUGCCAUAUCAAAUCUCAAAGGGUUGGAGGCGGUUCAAGUAUGUGCACUCAGCAUCUGCAGUUCGCAUUGCCCGCAUAGUUUAUGAGAGCUUUAAACUUGGUUUGCCAAAUGUUAGGUGGUUUGUAAUGGGAGAUGAUGAUACUGUGUUCUUUACUGAGAACUUAGUUACUGUGUUGGGAAAAUAUGAUCACAACCAAAUGUAUUAUAUUGGUGGGAGCUCUGAGAGUGUUGAGCAAGAUUUGAUGCAUUCUUAUGACAUGGCAUUUGGUGGUGGUGGAUUUGCAAUCAGUUAUGCAUUAGCUGCUCAACUAGCCAAAAUAAUGGAUGGUUGUCUAAGCAGAUACUACUACUUUUAUGGUUCUGAUCAAAGGGUUUGGGCCUGUGUGAAUGAAAUUGGUGUGCCUCUUACCAGAGAAGGUGGAUUCCACCAGCUUGACAUAAGAGGGGAUCCAUAUGGUCUUCUAGCUGCACACCCCUUGGUACCACUUGUAUCACUCCAUCACCUUGACCAAGUGAACUCCUUGUUUCCCAACCAGACUCAAAUUCACUCAAUGGAAAAGCUCAUCAGUGCAUACGACGUCGACCCUGCCCGGAUAGUGCAGCAAAGUUUUUGCUAUGAUCAUAGGCAUAGAUGGUCAAUAUCCAUCUCAUGGGGUUACACCAUACAAAUAUAUCCAUUAUUGUUGAUAGCAUCAGACUUGCAGAUGCCAUUGCAGACAUUUAAGACUUGGCGAAGUUGGAAAGACGGUCCCUUCACAUUCAAUACAAGACCAAUGAGCUCUGACCCGUGUCAGAAGCCAUCUGUGUUUUUCAUGGAUAAGGUAACGGAGGUGGGAAAAAGUGGAAGUGUCACUAUCUACAAGAGACAUGAAGGCACUGAAGGCAAGUGCACGAGAGAAGGCAUUAAUAACGUGGAAGUGGAAAGCAUUACAGUUUCUGCGUUGAAACUGGACCCGGAAUAUUGGAAAAGUGUAUUGCGCAGGCAUUGCUGCCAAUCAUUGGCGGGUGGAAGCAUAAACAAUGGUAGUAUGCAUAUCAGGAUCAGGAAGUGCAGACCUCAAGAAACAAUUACUAUUUAGGAAUCAGCUAUUUUAUUUGCUCGGCAUAGUGAGUAGAUUACUACUGUGUAGUGAGUUUUAUUGGUGUCACCUCUAACAUUUUCACCCUUGUACAUAUAUAGUUGUCAAAAUAUUCAUAUAGUCUCAACUUUAAAUAAUAAAUGUCUUGGGAAAUUUUCUAGUUGUUUGUAUGGCCUCCAAUAUCUAGAUGUGUUGCUUUUCUCUCCACUUUUUCAUAUUCUACCUUCCCUCAUUAUGCCUCUUCAUUUGAUGGGAAUGUCUUUUACAUUAGAAAUUGCCACUACCUCACCAACACUGGUAAAGAUGAUUCCUCUACGUAUUUUGAUGUUGCUCAAGUUUCAAUUUUACUUUGGUGAGCCUUUAUAAACAGGUUCUGAGAACUGAACUGCAGACCAAGCAAAUGUUUGAAUAAUGUUCUGCAGAGAAUGAAAACUAAGAUAAAACUAGACCUAUCUCAGGUUCAGGAUAAGUAAGUAAGCACCGAUGAAUGUCGUUUUGCUUGUUCGAAGAACGGUUUUAAGAGGGAGAAGAUUUGUUUUUUCUACCACUGUCGCACGGAUGAUUGUUAGAAGCUGCCAAAAAUAUCACACUUUGUGAUGCACGUCGAAACUAACAGUUCCUUUAACUGCCGAAAACUGUGAAUUUGACAGCUAGAAAUUACUACAUCAUGGAUCGAUCCUUAUGGUUACAAUUGUGGAAAAAAGAACUGAUUUUUUAGAUAAAAAACUAUGAACUAUUAUAGGAGGUCGCGUGUUGGACGAUCUAAUUUUCUUGUCAUUAGUGAAUUAUUUGAGUUUGGUUUAUUAAAUGUUGGAUUUAGUAU